rnacentral:rRNA from 1 species
UGAAUGGGGAAACCCACUUACAUAAGUAAGUAUCCUGUUGUGAAUACAUAGCAACAGGAGGCAAACCGGGGGAACUGAAACAUCUAAGUACCCCGAGGAAGAGAAAUCAACCGAGAUUCCGAAAGUAGCGGCGAGCGAAAUUGGAUUAGCCCUUAAGCUUUUAAUGAGACAGAUGAAGGCUCUGGAAAGUGCCGCAAUAAAGGGUGAUAGCCCCGUAAUCGACAUCUCAUCAUCAGUGAAAACGAGUAGGGCGGGACGGGAAAUAUCCUGUCUGAAUAUCGGGGGG